rnacentral:tRNA from 1 species
AUCCUAGUAGCUCGAUGGUUAGAGUUUCAGCCUCCAACUCUAAGGUACCGGGUUCGAAUCCCGACAAUGACA